rnacentral:rRNA from 1 species
GCUGGCGGCAGGCUUAACACAUGCAAGUCGAACGAAAAGCCAUCCUUCGGGGUGGUGGAAAGUGGCGCACGGGUGAGUAACACGUGGGAACCUACCCUUUGGUUCGGAAUAACCGCGGGAAACUGCGGCUAAUACCGAAUAAGCCCUCCGGGGGAAAGAUUUAUCGCCGAAGGAUGGGCCCGCGGCGGAUUAGCUUGUUGGUGGGGUAACGGCCUACCAAGGCUACGAUCCGUAGCUGGUCUGAGAGGAUGGUCAGCCACACUGGGACUGAGACACGGCCCAGACUCCUACGGGAGGCAGCAGUGGGGAAUAUUGGACAAUGGGCGCAAGCCUGAUCCAGCCAUGCCGCGUGAGUGAAGAAGGCCCUAGGGUUGUAAAGCUCUUUCACCGGGGAAGAUAAUGACGGUACCCGGAGAAGAAGCCCCGGCUAACUCCGUGCCAGCAGCCGCGGUAAUACGGAGGGGGCUAGCGUUGUUCGGAAUUACUGGGCGUAAAGCGCGCGUAGGUGGUUUGUCAAGUUGGGGGUGAAAUCCCGGGGCUCAACUCCGGAACUGCCCUCAAAACUGGUAGGCUAGAGUGUGGGAGAGGAGAGCGGAAUUCCCAGUGUAGAGGUGAAAUUCGUAGAUAUUGGGAAGAACACCAGUGGCGAAGGCGGCUUUCUGGACCACAACUGACGCUGAGGCGCGAAAGCGUGGGUAGCAAACAGGAUUAGAUACCCUGGUAGUCCACGCCGUAAACGAUGAGUGCUAGACGUUGGGGGGCUUGCCCUUCAGUGUCGGAGCUAACGCAUUAAGCACUCCGCCUGGGGAGUACGGNCGCAAGGUUAAAACUCA